GGCCUUGUAGUGUAAUAAACAUUUAGGAUUGCAAAUCCUUAGAUGCAGCUAAUAAUUGCCAAGGCUU
rnacentral:tRNA from 1 species